ACAGAAGUCAUUUAGGGUUAAAUUCUGAGUUUUAACUCUUCGUCUUAUUUAGUCUCCAUGUUUGUGCUGACAGCUGAUUGUUUGGAAGCAUACUACUUUUUCAAUGAUUUU